GCUUACGGCCAUACCAGCCUGGGUACGCCUGAUCUCGUCUGAUCUUGGAAGUUAAGCAGGGUCGGUCCUGGUUAGUACUUGGAUGGGAGACCGCCUGGGAAUACCAGGUGCUGUAAGCA
rnacentral:rRNA from 1 species